rnacentral:rRNA from 1 species
UACGGAGGGUGCAAGCGUUGUCCGGAAUUAUUGGGCGUAAAGCGCACGUAGGCGGUUCUUUAAGUCUCAUGGUGAAAGGCUGGGGCUCAACCCCGAGCAAGCCGGGGAUACUGGAGGACUGGAGACAGGCAGAGGCCAGCGGAAUUCCGGGUGUAGCGGUGGAAUGCGUAGAGAUCCGGAAGAACACCGGAGGCGAAGGCGGCUGGCUGGGCCUGAUCUGACGCUGAGGUGCGAAAGCGUGGGGAGCGAACAGG